GAAUAUUUAUUUAUUUAAUAUUGGCCCUCAUUUUUGUGUAUUUAUAGCCAAGACAUACCUUUCAGCAUGGCAUAUUGUGGUUACAUGAAACCAUCAAACAGUGGUGCUGGACUUAAUACUGCUCCUCACUCAAGCUGAGAAGAAGAAGAAGAAGAAGAAGAAGAAGAAGAAGAAGAAGAAGAAGAAGAAGAAGAAGAAGAAGAAGAAGAAGAAGAAGAAGAAGAAGAAGAAUUGCAAGGUCAGGAUUCAGCCACUAUUUUUUGGCAAACUCCACCCUGCAUGUGUAAUGGUCAGACAUGUUCACAAGUCCCUGAGGUCAAAGUCCAAGACAAGUCUCAAGUCUUAGAGGUCCAAGUUCAAAUAAAGUCUCAAGUCUUUGAGGUCCAAGUCCAAGUCAAGUCUCAAGUCUUAGAGGUCCAAGUUCAAAUAAAGUCUCAAGUCUUUGAGGUCCAAGUUCAAAUAAAGUCUCAAGUCUUUGAGGUCCAAGUCCAAGUCAAGUCUCAAGUCUUAGAGGUCCAAGUCCAAGUCAAGUCUCAAG
ensembl:lncRNA